AAUGUGUGACUGCCAUUGCUGGCAAAAUCACCUCCACGAUUAGCACAGUUUUGGACCAUAACGGAGGUAGAAGAUGAUCAGAAUACAAAGAAAAACACUUGAUUGUAUAAUGCGAUGCCUGUAACGACUUCCAUAGGUGGCCAGAUUGAUCAUUCAAUGAACCAAGGAGGAGCUGGGGAUAUAUAUAUUUUGGUUAAAUGGGUAGAAUUAUCAAAUAAUUGGAUCUAAUUUAUUGACUAGCUCUAUUCAUAAGACACUGCUAAUGAGAUUUAUAAUAAGUUUUAUGUGAUGCAAACUAGAAGUACCAAUUCUGAUUUAGUUAUUGCAGUAUUAAGCUCAUUGUUAAGAAUGCAAACUAUAAGGAUAUCACUGCUGAGCAUAAAUAAAAUAUUUAAAGUUAUGAUCAUUAUGCAUUUGAUUGGUAUUUUCCAAGUUGAUAUUUAUACUUUUGAGAUUCGUCUUUUGCCAUUUUCGAGCAUUGUCUCAAUAGAGGCCUAAAUAGCUUAGCCUCAAACCACCUCCAUGUUUUUUUCUUCUUCUUUUUGUUGAUGCUUAUAUAUGUUGUUGAUGCAUGUUAAGAUAACAUUCUGCCAAUGCCUUCUCCAUUGAUUAGGGUUGGCCUUGCAAAAUUCUGCCAAAGCCUUUAUUGGCUAGCUCUAUUUUUCCUCUGUGGUUUUAUUUCCUUUGUGUUUGUUAGGUUGGCCUUGCAACAUUCUGCCACUGCCUUCUCGAUUGAUUUAUUGCUCAGGCGAGACCCUCCAACUCCUGCUGCUUUUCAUCAGUUCGAGACGCAAGACAAGCAUAAACAAAUAUGCUCCAAGUGUUUAAUAGAAUUGAGAAGUGGUGAUUAUUAGGUAAUGAGCUAUGCACGAGCUAAUACGAAAGUUCAAUGGGGAUCAUGAGAGUUGAGAAAGAUGAAGCAUGGAACCAGUGCCUGAUUCGAUUAUGAAAAAUGUCUUUCAAGGGUUCAACUGAACAAGUUGAAAAAGGGGCAAAAAAUGCAGUGUUUUCCUCUUUAACAACGUUGUUUACAGCUUUAACUCAAUCAUCAUCAAUCAUGGUGUUUAAAUGUGCUUAUGAUGAAACAUGCAGAGCCCAAAAUUGCAAUGCCUAUCAACGAAACAGAUUACAUAAAGUCGUACGUAGUCAUCGAGAGCAUCGUUGGUAUUACCCACCAAAUCAUCACCGGGCUUAUCAACUUGAAGCUGUUUUUUUCUUGCCAGCUGCAAGCAUAGAGUAUGCAAACCAUCAACUGGUUAGUUUCAAGUUCCUUGACAAAAAGUUGAAUUAAAAAGCUAUAUGCUAUAUUCAUCAACAUCCUAAGAGAUUUUUGGGCUAGGUUUAUGGGAUUGAGACUAGGAUUUUGUGGAUGAAUUUCUGUGAUUUUGGCUGAGUUUUUUGGAUGGAAUUUCUAUAAUUUUAGCUGGAGAACCAUGUUGCUUCUUUUAUCAUAACCUCUGGAUUUAGCUGUUUAUUCUAGUUUAGUGAUUGGCUUCCAAAAGUGUGUAUUUUUGGUUAAUUUGGUUGCAUUUUUUAUUUUUUCUUUUCAAUUGCAUCCCUAAUUGAAUCAAUUAGACCCCUGGAUUUGGCACUUGUUACA